rnacentral:rRNA from 1 species
UACGUAGGGUGCAAGCGUUAAUCGGAAUUACUGGGCGUAAAGCGUGCGGCAGGCGGUUAUGUAAGACAGUUGUGAAAUCCCCGGGCUCAACCUGGGAACUGCAUCUGUGACUGCAUAGCUAGAGUACGGUAGAGGGGGAUGGAAUUCCGCGUGUAGCAGUGAAAUGCGUAGAUAUGCGGAGGAACACCGAUGGCGAAGGCAAUCCCCUGGACCUGUACUGACGCUCAUGCACCGAAAGCGUGGGGAGCAAACAGG